GUUGGUGAACCAGCGGAGGGAUCAUUACCGAGUUUACAACUCCCAAACCCCUGUGAACAUACCUACAACGUUGCCUCGGCGGUGCCCGCUUCCCCGUAAAACGGGACGGCCCGCCAGAGGAAUCCACAAACUCUGUUUCUAAAAGCAUCUUCUGAGUAAAAACAAGUAAAUAAAUCAAAACUUUCAACAACGGAUCUCUUGGUUCUG
rnacentral:misc_RNA from 1 species